GGGGAUAUAGCUCAGUUGGUAGAGUGCUUGCCUUGCAUGCAUAAGGCCCUGGGUUCAAUCCUCAGCACCA
rnacentral:tRNA from 1 species